rnacentral:pre_miRNA from 1 species
ACAUUUCGCAAAUUCACAUGCCCUAUGUUGCGAAAUGAACUCAAUACACAGUGAUUUAUGGUGUGUAUUGAGCGCUUAUCGUAACGCAAGGCCGUGAAUUUGUAAAGUGU